UCUCGCGGACAGCGCGGCUGUGCGGGCGUAGAGCUGUCGGAUGAGGCUGUCACUGGCUCGGCCAGCAUUUACUGCUGCGUUUACCCAGAGGGCAGUUAAGAGUCAACCACGUUGGUAUAGGUCUGGAGUCCCAUGCAGACCAGACCAGAUACCAUUGAUCAAUGCCAAAGCCCCAUUGCCUGUGGCGAAGGUGAUGUUUGAAUUCCUUGUACA